UACGGGGGGGGCAAGCGUUGUUCGGAAUUACUGGGCGUAAAGGGCUCGUAGGUGGCCAACUAAGUCAGACGUGAAAUCCCUCGGCUUAACCGGGGAACUGCGUCUGAUACUGGAUGGCUUGAAUCCGGGAGAGGGAUGCGGAAUUCCAGGUGUAGCGGUGAAAUGCGUAGAUAUCUGGAGGAAUACCGGUGGCGAAGGCGGCAUCCUGGACCGAGAUUGACACUGAUGAGCGAAAGCUAGGGGAGCAAACGGG
rnacentral:rRNA from 1 species